GGACGGGUGAGUAAUGCCUAGGAAUCUGCCUGGUAGUGGGGGAUAACGCUCGGAAACGGACGCUAAUACCGCAUACGUCCUACGGGAGAAAGCAGGGGACCUUCGGGCCUUGCGCUAUCAGAUGAGCCUAGGUCGGAUUAGCUAGUUGGUGAGGUAAUGGCUCACCAAGGCGACGAUCCGUAACUGGUCUGAGAGGAUGAUCAGUCACACUGGAACUGAGACACGGUCCAGACUCCUACGGGAGGCAGCAGUGGGGAAUAUUGGACAAUGGGCGAAAGCCUGAUCCAGCCAUGCCGCGUGUGUGAAGAAGGUCUUCGGAUUGUAAAGCACUUUAAGUUGGGAGGAAGGGCAUUUACCUAAUACGUAAGUGUUUUGACGUUACCGACAGAAUAAGCACCGGCUAACUCUGUGCCAGCAGCCGCGGUAAUACAGAGGGUGCAAGCGUUAAUCGGAAUUACUGGGCGUAAAGCGCGCGUAGGUGGUUCGUUAAGUUGGAUGUGAAAUCCCCGGGCUCAACCUGGGAACUGCAUUCAAAACUGUCGAGCUAGAGUAUGGUAGAGGGUGGUGGAAUUUCCUGUGUAGCGGUGAAAUGCGUAGAUAUAGGAAGGAACACCAGUGGCGAAGGCGACCACCUGGACUGAUACUGACACUGAGGUGCGAAAGCGUGGGGAGCAA
rnacentral:rRNA from 1 species